AACGAACGCUGGCGGCAUGCCUAACACAUGCAAGUCGAACGAGACCUUCGGGUCUAGUGGCGCACGGGUGCGUAACGCGUGGGAACCUGCCCUUAGGUUCGGAAUAACUCCCCGAAAGGGGUGCUAAUACCGGAUAAUGUCUUCGGACCAAAGAUUUAUCGCCUUUGGAUGGGCCCGCGUUGGAUUAGCUAGUUGGUAGGGUAAAAGCCUACCAAGGCGACGAUCCAUAGCUGGUCUGAGAGGAUGAUCAGCCACACUGGGACUGAGAAACGGCCCAGACUCCUACGGGAGGCAGCAGUGGGGAAUAUUGGACAAUAGGCGAAAGCCUGAUCCAGCAAUGCCGCGUGAGUGAUGAAGGCCUUAGGGUUGUAAAGCUCUUUUACCCGGGAUGAUAAUGACAGUACCGGGAGAAUAAGCUCCGGCUAACUCCGUG
rnacentral:rRNA from 1 species